rnacentral:lncRNA from 1 species
CCAGCUCCCACACAAUCUGAAGGGCCGGUCUCACUCCCACCAUGACCUCCACCCAACAGCACUGAGUCUGUUUCCACGUAGUGGGUGAGCAGGUCUGAGAACUUGCCCCAGGCUACCCACCUCCCAGCUGUGAAAGCAAAUAUGGCUUUUUUUUCUUCUCCCACCUGUGGAGUCUGCACACCAGAUUCAUGCCCUCCCUCGAGUUCUGGCUAGGAGGCUUCUCAGUCACUUCAAAUUGUUACAAAGUUCAGCUGGAGAUUUCCUUCUCCCUGUAGCCUUUCCCAAUGCCUCUGUCUGCCCUCCCAAAAGACCUCUGUGAGGCCAGGCAAAAACGGCUUGUUAGGGGACCCAGUGAGCUCCCAGUGCUUUUCCUGCUGCUUCUCCUAACACUGUAUGUUUCUUGGCUCUCUAAACUCACUCAGCUCCAGCCAUGUGAAGAAGGAUGUGUUUGCUUCCCCUUUCGCCAUGAUUUUAAGUUUCCUGAGGCCUCCCCAGCCAUGCAGAACUAAAUUUGGUCUGAUCUAAC